rnacentral:rRNA from 1 species
GUGGGGAAUUUUGGACAAUGGGGGAAACCCUGAUCCAGCCAUUCCGCGUGAGUGAAGAAGGCCUUCGGGUUGUAAAGCUCUUUCGGCCGGGAAGAAAUCGGCGGGACGAAUACUCCUGCUGGAUGACGGUACCGGAAGAAGAAGCACCGGCUAACUACGUGCCAGCAGCCGCGGUAAUACGUAGGGUGCGAGCGUUAAUCGGAAUUACUGGGCGUAAAGCGUGCGCAGGCGGCCGCAUAAGACAGCUGUGAAAGCCCCGGGCUUAACCUGGGAAUGGCGGUUGUGACUGUGUGGCUAGAGUUCGGCAGAGGGGGGUGGAAUUCCACGUGUAGCAGUGAAAUGCGUAGAGAUGUGGAGGAACACCGAUGGCGAAGGCAGCCCCCUGGGCCGUGACUGACGCUCAUGCACGAAAGCGUGGGGAGCAAACAGGAUUAGAAACCCUUGUAGUCC